rnacentral:lncRNA from 1 species
CGCUCAAACUUUCUAAAUGCAUAGUUGGGAAACUCAUCUUCUCUUACUUAGAAGAGCAUUUGGGCAACGAAGGGCCUCCUUCUCAAAGGACUAAGCUGGAGAGUUGGUAGGGGAAAUGCAAACUCAAUUUGGAAUGACCGAUGGAUACCAGGGAUCGAGCCUGAGAUAUUGCAGAACAGAGGAGACAAUGGCUAGCUGGAAUUAGUAUUUGAUAUAAUCGACAGUACAAAUAAAACGUGGAAAACGGAGUUAAUUACAACUACCUUUCAAAUGGAUAUUGCUCAAAGAAUUUUGCAGAUUCCUCUUGGAUAGCAGACUGUGAAGACUUACAAGUGUGGAAAGGUGAACAUUCUGGCGAGUUUUCAGUACGAAGCGCCUACAAACUAUUGCAAGAUGCUAGCUUGGAUCCUAGUAGCUAUUUAGUACAGGCCGAAACUAAAGAUUUCUACAUAAAGUUGUAGAAUUUACAAUUACCAAAAAAAAUUUAAUUCUUAUUUGGCGGAUCUCUUGGAACUAUAUUCCUACGCUAGUUAAUCUUAGAUACAAAAGAGUGACUACAAAUGCUAGUUGUCUUUGUUGCUGCUCCGAGGAAGAAGACAGCUACCACGUGUUUCGGCAAUAUCCUACAAGCAACGAAGUAUGGAAUAGUCUUAAUAUGACUUGGGUAACAGCACACAGAUCAAAAUACAUAGACAUAACUUAUCUGGGUUUUUGGAAGGGGCACCAAAAAGCAGAUCCGAAUGUUCUGCUGCGCUUUAUGGGUUAUUUGGGGCUCGCGAAAUCAAAUGGUUCAUGAAAGGAAAAUCACAUCAGGUAAGGACCUUUUACACAAAAUACAAAGUUACUUAAUGGAACUUGAAGGAGUGAGUGAAAAAAAUCGUACCUUUAAGUCUGCUAAAACUCAAAGACAAUGUGAGGAGUCAAUAAGGGAGACAAUACAGUUCGAUGCAGCUUUUGAUAUUAGAAACUCCAGAUCGACUUCAAGACUAGUUGUUCGAAACCUUAAAGCUUCAAAAUCGAUUCUUCAUUCCAACGUCUUGUCUCCAUUUGUAGCAGAGGCAUUUGCAUGUUUACAAGCAACCAAGUUAGGCAUCGAAAUGGGAUUAGGCUCAGUUACAAUUAUGGGGGACUCGAAAUCAGUUAUUAAAAAAUUCCAAAUGACGGAUCGGGAUAGAUCUAUUAUUGGAGCUAUUAUUAAAGAUAUUCAGAGCAGCAAAUCUAGUUUUCAAGAAAUUGCCUUCAGGUUUAUUCAAAGAUCAGAGAACCUUCAAGACCACAAAACAGCAAAGGAAGCAUUAGAGAAAAGGGAAGAGUUAUACCUGGUGGGAGAGACGUUGAAAUGCAAUGAAACUACUCCAGAAGAAAGAUGGCCACAAAAUUCGGGCUGAAGAUGUGGAAGGUGAAAUGAAACGGAAAAGGUAGCAAAUAAAAAUAGAUAUUUUGGAAACUGCUAUCAUUUGAACAGACUUGAUGUUCUGACAUGAAAAGGCAAAAAUGAUAAUGGCGUCCAGGCUAUUGAGUUGGCUGGGAAAUGACUAUCGGUUUACUUUCUUUUAGCUUCUUUAGUAUGUAAUUUCUGUUUAUUUCCUUAGCUUAAGUAUUCAGUGGGCUAAUCAUUUAAGAUAAAAAUAUAGCCCAUGUUUUAAUUAGCUGCCCAUUCCAGCAAAACUGAGCCCAAUAUUCUUUGGAUUGUAGUUGUUUGUUUUUCUUCUUUUCAUUUUCAAUUAAUAAUAUCCUAGCCAAUUUUUUUCAAAAAAAAAAUCAAAUGGACCACAUUUUUUGUGAUGUUUGUUUUCUUUGAAAGUAUUAUUAAUUUUUAGUCAUGUUCUGGUAUACAUGUGAG